AUGUGGGGGUGCCUCUCUGUAUCUGAGAGCUGACCCCGAACACCCCAUGCUGGCAUGGCACUGCCAGUGCAGCCACUUGGCAGCAGUUGUUGAGGUUGGAGGUACAGGGCUGAAGAGAAGGGCUGCCCUUUGCCAGCUUCUGCUGAUCGUCCUGGUGCUCAGGGAACUCCAGAUUUCAUUUUGAGUAACUGGUCCCAUCCUAGUUUUCAAGGACCUAGCUUUCAUUCUUGCACAGCAUUGUCUCUGUAGCCUAUACUUGAAUGGGGAGGAGCCUUAAACAGCGUCUUUGUGGCAGUUCUGGCUGGCCUCAUGAAGGCUUCUGUUAAGUGGUUGUUGCUUUCCCCCUUUGCUGUAGCCUGGGAAACGCUGCAGCAUUUGAUUGCGUGACCCAACGCAGCCAGAACAAACAUCCCCAAAACCACGCUGCAGGUGCUGAGAGCUGCUGUUCUGCACUGCCUCAACCCUACGCUCAGGGAUGGGACCCACCAGUAUUUGCACUGGAGUUAUGCAAGGAAGCAAGGAAUCCCCUCUGCCCUACCAUCUCUACUGUAAGUAGAUGGGGUAUUCAGAGAUCCUGUUCUUGGGAGCAUUGGGACAGCUGGAUCCUUGUUCAGUUCUCACUGCUCUUGAGAAUGGAGCAAAGGAUCAUCUGCUGGGGCCUCCGAACAUUGCAGAUGUCCCUCUCAGCCCCUGUUUGUGUAUAAUCCUGCUGCGUGAAAGUCCUGUGUCCUAGACUGUAAAGGUUUUACAGAUGCAUAAUGUCUUGGGGAUUCAGAAGAACUUUAAAUUUGUCACUUACCUAAAGUGUCUUAGUCAAAUUCUUUCAUCAGAUAUAGCUGUGGACUGUAUAUAUUUUGGUCCUCGUACCAAGCACCCUUAGGACCUUUGCAUUGUCUCGCUGCCAUCUACCAGCUUUCCAGCAUUCACCUGCCAAAAAUUUAGCUUCCCUCUUGUUUGUGGUAGUCU
rnacentral:lncRNA from 1 species